rnacentral:rRNA from 1 species
UGAACGCUGGCGGCGUGCCUACUACAUGCAAGUCGAGCGAACAGACGCGGAGCUUGCUCCUCUGACGUUAGCGGCGGACGGGUGAGUAACACGUGGAUAACCUACCUAUAAGACUGGGAUAACUUCGGGAAGCCGGAGCUAAUACCGGAUAAUAUAUUGAACCGCAUGGUUCAAUAGUGAAAGACGGUUUUGCUGUCACUUAUAGAUGGAUCCGCGCCGCAUUAGCUAGUUGGUAAGGUAACGGCUUACCAAGGCAACGAUGCGUAGCCGACCUGAGAGGGUGAUCGGCCACACUGGAACUGAGACACGGUCCAGACUCCUACGGGAGGCAGCAGUAGGGAAUCUUCCGCAAUGGGCGAAAGCCUGACGGAGCAACGCCGCGUGAGUGAUGAAGGUCUUCGGAUCGUAAAACUCUGUUAUUAGGGAAGAACAAAUGUGUAAGUAACUAUGCACGUCUUGACGGUACCUAAUCAGAAAGCCACGGCUAACUACGUG